rnacentral:rRNA from 1 species
UACAGAGGGUGCAAGCGUUGUCCGGAAUCAUUGGGCGUAAAGCGCGCGUAGGUGGCCCCAUAAGUCCGCUGUGAAAGUCAAAGGCUCAACCUUUGAAAGCCGGUGGAUACUGUGGGACUAGAGUACGGAAGAGGCGAGUGGAAUUCCUGGUGUAGCGGUGGAAUGCGCAGAUAUCAGGAGGAACACCAAUAGCGAAGGCAGCUCGCUGGGACGUUACUGACACUGAGGCGCGAAAGCGUGGGGAGCGAACAGG